GACGAACGCUGGCGGCGUGCUUAACACAUGCAAGUCGAGCGGUAAGGCCCUUUCGGGGGUACACGAGCGGCGAACGGGUGAGUAACACGUGGGCGACCUGCCCUCAGCUCUGGGAUAAGCCUGGGAAACCGGGUCUAAUACCGGAUAUGACUCCAUGACGCAUGUUGUGGGGUGGAAAGCCUUGUGCGGCUGAGGAUGGGCCCGCGGCCUAUCAGCUUGUUGGUGGGGUGAUGGCCUACCAAGGCGACGACGGGUAGCCGGCCUGAGAGGGCGACCGGCCACACUGGGACUGAGACACGGCCCAGACUCCUACGGGAGGCAGCAGUGGGGAAUCUUGCGCAAUGGGCGAAAGCCUGACGCAGCGACGCCGCGUGAGGGAUGACGGCCUGGU
rnacentral:rRNA from 1 species